UAUCCUCACCAUUUGAAACACAAUUUGGAAAAAGGUAUAAUUAUUAGCACAUGAGUCAAACUAGAUCACGUGAUUAGAUCCCAAAAAUGUAUCUUUAAAACCAAUAAUAUAACCCACAAAGCAGCAAGAGUUCCAAUCUCUCUUUCCUUCCAUUUUAACUCAAACAAAGCUAGCUACUCAAAAGUUUUCUCAGUUGCAGUCUCAGGAACAGAAGAACCUAAGAGCUCCAAGAUUAAAAAGAGGAUUCACAAUGAAGAGGUUCCAUACAUGGGAAUCGAUCUCAGCAGCUCUGAUCCUGUUACUUCUAGCUUUGUAUAUCGGCAAGAAUAAUGUAGAGGGUCGUCACAUGACACCAGCAGUGAGAGAUUUGCAGAUAAGUAAGGAGAUGAAGGAGGAGGAGUCUCUAAGAGGUGAAAAAAAUAGCUUCAGAAGAAUCCCAAGGAGUGGCUUCAGUCCUAUACAUAACAGCUACGUCCCUUAGGAAGGUAGAAAACAGCAGUUAACCACAAGAGAACCAUAGUAAUAAAUUUUCUCCCCCUCAUGAAUCUUUAUAAUUUUUUUUUUGUUUGCACUGUACUAUAGGGUACUUACACUUAUUAGUGGAUGUUGUAAUGUAAAUGGAGCAUCAGAAAGUUUCUUAUAAGCUUUGUUCUGUUAACAGCUUCUAGAGUAGGCUUAGACUUCUAUAAGUUCGUUUGGUAUGUAAUAUGAAAGUACUGUUUUAAUUAGCAUUCUUGUGAGGGCAGAUCAAGCCAGAAAGGCUUUAACAAUGCUGCCAUCUACAUUAAAAUAUUAGAGGAGAAGAAGUGUGACACAGCAUAGAGGAAAGAUGCAGCUUGACUAAUAUAUGUUAUAGAAUAAAUAGACUAUAAUAUAAAAGCCUAACC